rnacentral:rRNA from 1 species
CCUACGGGAGGCAGCAGUCGGGAAUAUUGCGCAAUGGAGGAAACUCUGACGCAGGGACGCCGCGUAUAGGAAGAAGGUUUUCGGAAUGUAAACUAUUGUCGGUAGGGAAGAGAAAGGACAGUACCGAAGGAGGAAGCGCCGGCUAACUACGUGCCAGCAGCCGCGGUAAAACGUAGGGAGCGAGCGUUAUCCGGAAUUAUUGGGUGUAAAGGGUGCGGAGACGGGAAAACAAGUUAGUUGUGAACUCCCUCGGCUUAACUGCGGAACUGCAACUAAAACUAUUUUUCUUGAGUGCAGGAGCGGUCAGUGGUAUUCCUCGUGUAGCGGUGAAAUGCGUCGAUAUUAGGAGGAACACCAGUGGCGAAGGCGACUUACUGGACUGUAACUGACGUUGCGGCACGAAAGUGUGGGGCGCAAACAGGAUUAGAUACCCCUGUAGUC